UACGUAGGGUGCAAGCGUUAAUCGGGAUUACUGGGCGUAAAGCGUGCGCAGGCGGUGAUGUAAGACAGGUGUGAAAUCCCCGGGCUUAACCUGGGAACUGCAUUUGUGACUGCAUCGCUGGAGUGCGGCAGAGGGGGAUGGAAUUCCGCGUGUAGCAGUGAAAUGCGUAGAUAUGCGGAGGAACACCGAUGGCGAAGGCAAUCCCCUGGGCCUGCACUGACGCUCAUGCACGAAAGCGUGGGGAGCAAACAGG
rnacentral:rRNA from 1 species